rnacentral:rRNA from 1 species
GAGUGAAGCGGCAAUAGCUCAAAUUUGAAAUCUGGCACCUUCGGUGUCCGAGUUGUAAUUUGAAGAAGGUAUCUUUGGUUUUGGCCUUUGUCUAUGUUUCUUGGAACAGGACGUCACAGAGGGUGAGAAUCCCGUGCGACAAGGUGCCCAAUUCCAUGUAAAGUUCCUUCGACGAGUCGAGUUGUUUGGGAAUGCAGCUCUAAGUGGGUGGUAAAUUCCAUCUAAAGCUAAAUAUUGGCGAGAGACCGAUAGCGAACAAGUACUGUGAAGGAAAGAUGAAAAGAACUUUGAAAAGAGAGUGAAAAAGUACGUGAAAUUGUUGAAAGGGAAGGGCUUGAGGUCAGACUUGGUUUUACCAGGCCAGCAUCAGUUUGGAUGGCAGGAUAAUAGCUAAGAAAAGUGGCACAGCUUCGGUUGUGUGUUAUAGUCUUGGUUGAUACUGCCUGUCCAGACUGAGGACUGCGUCUUUGACUAGGAUGCUGGCAUAAUGACCUUAAGCCGCCCGUCUUGAACCCACGGACCA